rnacentral:lncRNA from 1 species
CUCUUUGCAAACAUUCAUACUAUAACCGAGUCUUAUUUCCUGAAUAAAUUAUCUGUCUUUUGAUCAAUGGAUUAUUCCCUAAUUAAGGGGGAUAUUUCACUUUCUCUUUGAGGAUGACCACCUGUUCUCUGUAGGAGUCCUGAUUUUUUUAAUUUUAAUUUUUAAUUUUUGUGAGUACAUACUAGUUGUGUAUGUUUAUGGGUAACAUGAGAUAUUUUGUUACAGUUGUACUGCAUAAUAAUCAUGUCAGGGUAAAUGGGGUACCCAACACCUCAAGCAUUUAUCCUUUUUGUUACAGACAAUCUAAUUAUAUUUUCUAUUUAUUUUUAAAUUUAUAAUUAAAUUAUUUUUUAGUGCAGUCCCCCUGUUGUGCUAGAAAAUACUAGGUCUUUAUUCUUUCUAAUUAUUUGAAUAAAGUCUUAAAAGAAUAAUUCUCAUUGCAUAUCUUAGACGUUUUAUAUAUAUAUAUAUCAUUUUAUAUACAUAUAUAUAUACACACACACACAUACAAUUGUUUUGCUUAAAGUAAAUACUGUUACUAGCUAGUAGAAACUUUCAUGAAUAUAGAUUUGUACCUCUUUUAUUGUACUUGAAUACUGCUGUGGUUUGAAUGUGUCCCCAAUCCUCUUAAUCCCCAAUGCAACAGUGUUAAGAGGUGGGAACUUUAAAGAGGUGAUUAAGUCAUAAGGGUUCUGCCCUUAUGAAUGGAAUAAUGCCAUUAUUACAGGACAGAAGUGGAUUAGAUAUGGCAGAGUGUAUUCCUGAUAAAAGGAUGAAUUUGGCCCCCUUCUCUUCUUCCUUUUGUCCCCUCUUGCCCUUUGGAUUUCCACCAUGGAAUGACAAAGCAAGUUGGCCCUUACAAGAUGCCACCACAUUGAUAUUGGACUUCCCAGCCUCUAGAACUGAUCCUUCCUUUUCCUUGACCUUCAGGAGGUUGAUUAUCAAAUUCUUUGAAGGAGACUUCUCUGUGUUAAAUGUGCUUUGUGUAGAAAUUAGACUGACACCUAUGACCAUCUAAUCUUCAACAAAACUGACAAAAGCAAGCAAUGGGGAAAAGAUUCCCUAUGCAAUAAAUCCUAUUGGGACAACUGGCUAGCAAUAUGCAGAAGAUUUAAAAUGGACCCCUUCCUUACACUAUAAACAAAAAUCAACUCAAGAUGGAUUAAAGAUUUAAAUAUUAAACUCAAAACUAUAAAAACUCUGGAAGACAACCUAGGUGAUACCAUCCUGGACACAGGCAGGAAAAGAUGUCCUGACAAAGAUAUCAAAAGCAAUUGCAACAAAAGCAUAAAUUGACAAGUGGAAUCUAAUUAAAUGUAAGAGCUUCUGCACAGCAAAGAAACUAACAACAGAGUAAAUAGACAACCUACAGAAUGGAAGAAAAUAUUUGCAAACUAUGCAUCUGAUGAAGGUCUAAUAUUCAGCAUCUAUAAGGAACUAAAACAAAUUUACAAGAGAAAAACAAACAACCCCAUUAAAAAGUGAGCAAAGAACAUGAACGGCCUAGAAGUUCGAGGCUGCAGUGAGCUAUGGAAUGCCACUGCCUUUCAGCCUGGGAUAUGGAGUAAAACUGUCUCACACACACAGAAGACAUCUCUCUCUCUCUGCACAACGGAGAAGACAGUGGCUUUAAACUUACAUAGCUAGCCUCACCUUUUAAGAUAUUUUUCUUGGCAAUCUUGUUUUCUCUAAGCCUUUACCGAAGCCCUAUUUUGUUUCAGCAAAUAUUGGUGUUGGGACCCAAGUUCUGUUCUUUUGGGAUGUAAAUAUCACCUGAGUCAUGUUUUUGAAAGUGCAAAUUUAAGAGCUGACUACUAACAAUUGUUUAGACUUGAUGAGUAAAGGGAAAAGAAACAAUCUGAAAUCUGGCAGAGGAAGGAUUUAUGAAGCUAUAAAAUUUGCAUCUAUCUGAGUGUCUCUGUCUAACUGUUUAUAUAUGUCAUGUGCAUGUGAUAUUUCACUAUUAAAAUAUAUGAAAGACUUCUAAUUAAUUGUCUUAAAGAAAAAGUAAGCACUUAAGUAUUUUAUCAAAAAAAUAGAAACUAGCUCAAAUGCCUUUCAGUUCAUAUGACUUGGCUACAUCUUUCACAAAUAAUACUUGUUAAAU